UUUCCGUAGGUGAACCUGCGGAGGGAUCAUUACAGAGUUCAUGCCCUACCGGGUAGAUCUCCCACCCUAUGUUAUUAUUACUUCGUUGCUUUGGCGGGCCGUUAGGCUCCGGCCCGACUACCGGCCCCGGCUGGUAAGCGCCCGCCAGAGGACCCAAAACCCUGAAUAUUAGUGUCGUCUGAGUACUAUAUAAUAGUUAAAACUUUCAACAACGGAUCUCUUGGUUCUG
rnacentral:misc_RNA from 1 species